AGCUAAAUCCACUCUAUCAGAGCAGAGCUCAACUGUUUUCACUUAAAUCAAAGGACCUGGCUACAGACUUCAACAUCCUACAUACAGAGUUUUCAGAGCUCACCUGCGCCUCCAAGGACUGAGAUGAGACAGAAGGAUGAUGCAGGCUCUACUCCUGCAAAGGUCAAGAAAGAUUUGGAAUGGCCGGUGGAGGAGACUUCUGAAUUGUAUGAAUAUAAACUUCUUCAGCAUCAAGAGCUUCCGCGUAUAGAGGACAUAAAUCAAUUGAA